AUUGAACGCUGGCGGCAGGCCUAACACAUGCAAGUCGAACGAGUGGCGGACGGGUGAGUAAUGUCUGGGAAUCUGCCUUAUGGAGGGGGAUAACUACUGGAAACGGUAGCUAAUACCGCAUACCAUCGGAUGUGCCCAGGUGGGAUUAGGUAGUGGGUGGGGUAAAGGCUCACCAAGGCGACGAUCCCUAGCUGGUCUGAGAGGAUGACCAGCCACACUGGAACUGAGACACGGCCCAGACUCCUACGGGAGGCAGCAGUGGGGAAUAUUGCGCAAUGGGCGCAAGCCUGAUGCAGCCAUGCCGCGUGUAUGAAGAAGGCCUUCGGGUUGUAAAGUACUUUCAGCAGGGAGGCGUUACCCGCAGAAGAAGCACCGGCUAACUCCGUGCCAGCAGCCGCGGUAAUAC
rnacentral:rRNA from 1 species